rnacentral:rRNA from 1 species
UGGGGAAUAUUGCACAAUGGGCGAAAGCCUGAUGCAGCAACGCCGCGUGAGUGAUGAAAGGCCUUCGGGUUGUAAAAGCUCUGUCUUUUGGGACGAUAAUGACGGUACCAAAGGAGGAAGCCACGGCUAACUACGUGCCAGCAGCCGCGGUAAUACGUAGGUGGCAAGCGUUGUCCGGAUUUACUGGGCGUAAAGGAUGCGUAGGCGGAUUUUUAAGUGAGAUGUGAAAACCCUAAGCUUAACUUGGGGACUGCAUUUCAUACUGGAAAUCUAGAGUGCGGGAGAGGAGAAUGGAAUUCCUAGUGUAGCGGUGAAAUGCGUAGAGAUUAGGAAGAACACCAGUGGCGAAGGCGAUUCUCUGGACCGUAACUGACGCUGAGGCAUGAAAGCGUGGGUAGCAAACAGGAUUAGAUACCCUGGUAGUCCACGCCGUAAACGAUGAGUACUAGGUGUAGGAGGUAUCGACCCCCUUCUGUGCCGCAGUUAACACAAUAAGUACUCCGCCUGGGAAGUACGAUCGCAAGAUU